rnacentral:rRNA from 1 species
UACGGAGGGGGGCAAGCGUUGUCCGGAAUCAUUGGGCGUAAAGCGCGCGUAGGCGGCCCGGUAAGUCCGUUGUGAAAGUCAAAGGCUCAACCUUUGAACGCCGAUGGAUACUGCCGGGCUAGAGUCCGGAAGAGGCGAGUGGAAUUCCUGGUGUAGCGGUGGAAUGCGUAGAUAUGUGGAGGAACACCGAUGGCGAAGGCAGCCCCCCUGGGAUGUGACUGACGCUCAUGUACGAAAGCGUGGGGAGCAAACAGG